UGCUGGUUUCCCUACUUCAGCUGGCAGUUAGCAAUAGGGCUGAUUUGUUUCCUUUGCCUCCAAGGGGGCAGGGAGCAAUGUUUUGCUGCUGCAGCACAGGGCCUCCCACGCUUACCCUUGUGUUCCUGCUGCUUAAGCGCCCACCCCAUGUUCCUGGCACUGCUUUAAGGUUCCAGCCAGAGAUAUGCAAAAAGCUUGUAAUGAAACUGCAAGCCAAGUGA
rnacentral:lncRNA from 1 species